rnacentral:sRNA from 1 species
AUAUCUCUCCGUACGGGAAGGAUGAGAAGCUUCGACUAAGGUUCGAUUCGAGCGAAAGCGAGAAAGCGUUGCCGCAGGCAACG